CUAGAGGAACAAGGAUGAUUUCACAGACUCAUCUGAUCUGGUUCCUAGCGCUGUGGAUUCAGGAUGCCAAGGGGGAGACUGUGCUGACUCAGACUCCAGAAUCCCUAGCAGUGUCUCCUGGAGACACAGUCACUAUCCGCUGCAAAGCCAGUUCCAGUGUUUACAGCUAUAUGGCCUGGUACCAACAGAAAUCAGGACAAGCUCCUAAGCUCCUUAUCCACAGUGCCUCCACCCGUCCCUCUGGGAUCCCAGACCGGUUCAGUGGCAGUGGGUCUGGCACCGACUUCACAUUCACCAUCAGCAGAGUUGAAACUGAUGAUGCUGGAGAUUAUUACUGUCAGCAUUUCUACGGUACCCCUCUCACACAGUGA